rnacentral:lncRNA from 1 species
UAGUUUUAUUCACUGAAAAUUCCUGCUUCCUCCACAUGAUACAUGACCCUUCUCUGAGGAAGCCUCUGGAUCUUGGUAGAGAAGAUGCUGGCUUAUAUAAACUGGCUUGGGUUCCACCUUCCCCUUCUUCCUCUACUAAUUGUUCAUCUACUUCUGUAUGUUCUGUGUCUGCUUCUUGUAAUGAUGACAUUUUGUCUGAUAACAAGGCUGUUAGCUUGUCCUCAAAUGUACAUGGUUCCAUCUGUAAUAAUGUUGUUACAACUGAUGAAUUACAUUUGGCAUUUAAGACUAGCCCAUACUUCAUUUACAAAUAUGAGACACAUUUCUGGUUUGCCUUAUCCAUUUGCUUCUAAACAACCUUUCCC